rnacentral:rRNA from 1 species
GAUGAACGCUGGCGGCGUGCCUAAUACAUGCAAGUCGAGCGAACAGAUGAGGAGCUUGCUCCUCUGACGUUAGCGGCGGACGGGUGAGUAACACGUGGAUAACCUACCUAUAAGACUGGGAUAACUUCGGGAAACCGGAGCUAAUACCGGAUAAUAUAUUGAACCGCAUGGUUCAAUAGUGAAAGACGGUUUUGCUGUCACUUAUAGAUGGAUCCGCGCCGCAUUAGCUAGUUGGUAAGGUAACGGCUUACCAAGGCAACGAUGCGUAGCCGACCUGAGAGGGUGAUAGGCCACACUGGAACUGAGACACGGUCCAGACUCCUACGGGAGGCAGCAGAAGGGAAUCUUCCGCAAUGGGCGAAAGCCUGACGGAGCAACGCCGCGUGAGUGAUGAAGGUCUUCGGAUCGUAAAACUCUGUUAUUAGGGAAGAACAAAUGUGUAAGUAACUAUGCACGUCUUGACGGUACCUAAUCAGAAAGCCACGGCUAACUACGUG